UGGCCGUUCUGGCUGAACAAGUGAGGGAAUCUGUCGAGCGCCGGUUGACGAACUUGCGACACCGUCGAGAGAACGUCGGGGGUCAAGGAGUCCGGAUUUCACCUGCUGGCGUGGGCGAGGCAGGAGAGAGGAUUUGAUUCCUGGUGCCACCGGUACACAAUGGACGUGAGUGGAGAGUCGUUUGCGGAGCUCAAAAAGACAAAAUUCAACAGCAAUCUCUUCCCGAAAAAAAGUCGUUGUGUGGUUCACGAGCAUCAGAAAGUUUUCCCCGAUGAUGAUGAAGUUUUCAUCCGGAUUGAUGAAAGUGCACUUUGUUGCAACACCGUUUUGGACUGACAGAAAAAAAUAAAACCUGGAGGCAAUCUCCUCUUCUGUCUGUCUUUCUUUUUUUUGCCAGUAUCCAGACGGAUACAUCAUCAACCUCUGGCGACUUGUCACCACAAAGAAAAGGCACAGAUCGAGAAAGAGAAAGAAAA